GACGAACGCUGGCGGCGUGCUUAACACAUGCAAGUCGAACGGAAAGGCCCUGCGUUUGUGGGGUGCUCGGGUGGCGAACGGAUGAGUAACACGUGAGUAACCUGACCUUGACUUUGGGAUAACUUCAGGAAACUGGGGCUAAUACCGGAUAGGAGCUCCUGCUGCAUGGUGGGGGGUGGAAAGUUUCGGCGGUUGGGGAUGGACUCGCGGCUUAGCAGCUUGUUGGGGGGGUAGUGGCUUACCAAGGCUGUGACGGGUAGCCGGCCUGAGAGGGUGACCGGCCACAUUGGGACUGAGAUACGGCCCAGACUCCUACGGGAGGCAGCAGUGGGGAAUAUUGCACAAUGGGCGGAAGCCUGAUGCAGCAACGCCGCGUGCGGGAUGACGGCCUUCGGGUUGUAAACCGCUUUCGCCUGUGACGAAGCGUGAGUGACGGUAAUGGGUAAAGAAGCACCGGCUAACUACGUG
rnacentral:rRNA from 1 species